rnacentral:rRNA from 1 species
GUGGGGAAUCUUGCGCAAUGGGCGAAAGCCUGACGCAGCCAUGCCGCGUGAAUGAUGAAGGUCUUAGGAUUGUAAAAUUCUUUCACCGGGGACGAUAAUGACGGUACCCGGAGAAGAAGCCCCGGCUAACUUCGUGCCAGCAGCCGCGGUAAUACGAAGGGGGCUAGCGUUGCUCGGAAUUACUGGGCGUAAAGGGCGCGUAGGCGGACAGUUUAGUCAGAGGUGAAAGCCCAGGGCUCAACCUUGGAAUUGCAUUUGAUACUGGCUGUCUUGAGUACGGGAGAGGUGAGUGGAACUCCGAGUGUAGAGGUGAAAUUCGUAGAUAUUCGGAAUAACACCAGUGGCGAAGGCGACUCACUGGCCCGUUACUGACGCUGAGGCGCGAAAGCGUGGGGAGCAAACAGGAUUAGAUACCCGUGUAGUCC